rnacentral:tRNA from 1 species
AGCAGGAUGGUGGAGUGGUUAAGGUGUUGGACUUCAGAUCCCAUGGACAGUUGUCCUCCUGGGUUCGAGCUUCACUCCUGAUA